UACGUAGGUGGCGAGCGUUGUCCGGAUUUACUGGGCGUAAAGGGAGCGUAGGCGGACUUUUAAGUGAGAUGUGAAAUACCCGGGCUCAACUUGGGUGCUGCAUUUCAAACUGGAAGUCUAGAGUGCAGGAGAGGAGAAUGGAAUUCCUAGUGUAGCGGUGAAAUGCGUAGAGAUUAGGAAGAACACCAGUGGCGAAGGCGAUUCUCUGGACUGUAGCUGACGCUGAGGCUCGAAAGCGUGGGGAGCAAACAGGAUUAGAUA
rnacentral:rRNA from 1 species